AUACGGAGGGGGCUAGCGUUGUUCGGAAUUACUGGGCGUAAAGCGCGCGUAGGCGGAUCGUUAAGUCAGGGGUGAAAGCCCGGAGCUCAACUCCGGAACUGCCCUUGAUACUGGCGACCUCGAGUCCGGGAGAGGUGAGCGGAAUUCCUAGUGUAGAGGUGAAAUUCGUAGAUAUUAGGAGGAACACCAGUGGCGAAGGCGGCUCACUGGCCCGGUACUGACGCUGAGGUGCGAAAGCGUGGGGAGCAAACAGGAUUAGAAACCCUUGUAGUCC
rnacentral:rRNA from 1 species